rnacentral:rRNA from 1 species
CAGUCGCCACGGUAAUACGUAGGUGGCAAGCGUUGUCCGGAAUUAUUGGGCGUAAAGCGCGCGCAGGCGGAUCAGUUAGUCUGUCUUAAAAGUUCGGGGCUUAACCCCGUGAGGGGAUGGAAACUGCUGAUCUAGAGUAUCGGAGAGGAAAGUGGAAUUCCUAGUGUAGCGGUGAAAUGCGUAGAUAUUAGGAAGAACACCAGUGGCGAAGGCGACUUUCUGGACGAAAACUGACGCUGAGGCGCGAAAGCCAGGGGAGCGAACGGGAUUAGAUACCCCUGUAGUCCCUGUCUCUUAUACC